rnacentral:rRNA from 1 species
CUACGGGCGGCAGCAGUGAGGAAUAUUGCACAAUGGGGGAAACCCUGAUGCAGCAACGCCGCGUGGAGGAUGACGCAUUUCGGUGUGUAAACUCCUUUUAUAUGUCAAGAAAAUGACGGUAGCAUAUGAGUAAGCACCGGCUAACUCCGUGCCAGCAGCCGCGGUAAUACGGAGGGUGCAAGCGUUACUCGGAAUCACUGGGCGUAAAGGACGCGUAGGCGGGUUGGUAAGUCAGGUGUGAAAUCCUACAGCUUAACUGUAGAACUGCACUUGAAACUACCAACCUAGAGUAUGGGAGGGGGAGAUGGAAUUAGUGGUGUAGGGGUAAAAUCCGUAGAUAUCACUAGGAAUACCGAAAGCGAAGGCGAUCUCCUGGAACAUAACUGACGCUAAGGCGUGAAAGCGUAGGGAGCAAACAGGAUUAGAUACCCCCGUAGUC